AGAGUUUGCAAUGGCAAUGCUCUGGAAAUUCAUGAGAGUGGCUAAGUAUUCUAAAGCGGCUUUAUCACCAAAAGUAAAGGUAAGAGGAAUUCCUACCCAUUCAAGGCAUUCUUCAUCCAAGUCUGUACCUUCAGAUUUUGCUGCCAACACACCCUGCUCAAAUACUGUGGAACUACUUGGUAGAGCUUAUCCUCAAGAUGAGUACAGCAAUGUCACAGAGAAGAUUCUUUCCAAGGUGGGGAAGAACUUACACAACAAAAAGCAUCACCCUUUGUGGCUAAUCAAGGAGCAGGUGAAGGACCACUUUUACAAACAAUAUAUUGGACGCCGUGGGACUCCGCUCUUUUCUGUCUAUGACGGUCUUUCUCCAGUAGUUACAGUACAGCAGAACUUUGAUAGUUUGCUUAUCCCGCAAAACCAUGCUAGCAGAAGGAAAGAGGAUAACUAUUACUUGAAUCGUGAUCACAUGCUAAGAGCACAUACAUCAGCUCAUCAGUGGGACUUGAUACACUCCGGCCUAGAUGCCUUUCUGGCAGUGGGAGAUGUCUACCGCCGUGAUACAAUUGAUAACACCCACUACCCAGUCUUCCAUCAGAUGGAAGGAGUUCGGCUCUUCUCCUGUCAUGAGGUAGGAAUUCUCUAGUUGGGGU